UACGUAGGGUCCGAGCGUUGUCCGGAAUUACUGGGCGUAAAGAGCUCGUAGGUGGUUUGUCGCGUUGUUCGUGAAAACUCACAGCUCAACUGUGGGCGUGCGGGCGAUACGGGCAGACUGGAGUACUGCAGGGGAGACUGGAAUUCCUGGUGUAGCGGUGGAACGCGCAGAUAUCAGGAGGAACACCGGUGGCGAAGGCGGGUCUCUGGGCAGUAACUGACGCUGAGGAGCGAAAGCGUGGGGAGCGAACAGG
rnacentral:rRNA from 1 species